rnacentral:rRNA from 1 species
AGCGAACGCUGGCGGCAGGCCUAACUCAUGCAAGUCGAGCGCUCAUCUUCGGAUGGGAGCGGCGCACGGGUGAGUAACACGUGGGAACCUACCUUGAAGUAUGGAAUAACUGAGGGAAACUUCAGCUAAUACCGUAUACGCCCUACGGGGGAAAGAUUUAUCGCUUCAGGACGGGCCCGCGUUGGAUUAGCUGGUUGGUGAGGUAAUGGCUCACCAAGGCGACGAUCCAUAGCUGAUUUGAGAGAAUGAUCAGCCACACUGGGACUGAGACACGGCCCAGACUCCUACGGGAGGCAGCAGUGGGGAAUAUUGGACAAUGGGCGCAAGCCUGAUCCAGCCAUGCCGCGUGAGUGAUGAAGGCCUUCGGGUUGUAAAGCUCUUUCAGAUGGGACGAUGAUGACGGUACCAUCAGAAGAAGCCCCGGCUAACUUCGUGCCAGCAGCCGCGGUAAUACGAAGGGGGCUAGCGUUGUUCGGAAUUACUGGGCGUAAAGCGCGCGUAGGCGGCUUUGUCAGUCAGGGGUGAAAUCCCGGGGCUUAACCUCGGAACUGCCUUUGAUACUGCAAGGCUUGAGUCUGUGAGAGGAUGGUGGAAUACCCAGUGUAGAGGUGAAAUUCGU